rnacentral:rRNA from 1 species
GGGGGACCACCCUCCAAGCCUAAAUACUCGUACAUGACCGAUAGCGAACACAGUACCGUGAGGGAAAGGUGAAAAGAACCGCGGAUAGCGGAGUGAAAAGAACCUGAAACCGUGUGCUUACAAGCAGUUAGAGGGCUAUAAAUGGCCUGAUAGCGUGCCUUUUGCAUAAUGAGCCUACGAGUUACUCCUCACUGGCAAGGUUAAGUGCAUUGAUGCACGCAGGCGCAGCGAAAGCGAGUCUGAAUAGGGCGUGUAGUCAGUGGGGGUAGACGCGAAACCUAGUGAGCUACCCUUGAGCAGGAUGAAGGAGCGGUAACACGCUGUGGAGGUCCGAACCAGUUUCCGUUGAAAAGGAUUUGGAUGACUUGAGGGUAGGGGUGAAAGGCCAAUCAAACUCCGUGAUAGCUGGUUCUCUCCGAAAUGCAUUUAGGUGCAGCGUUGCGUGUUUCUUGCCGGAGGUAGAGCUACUGGAUGGCGAAUGGGCCCUACAAGGUUACUGAUGUCAGCCAAACUCCGAAUGCCGGUAAGCCAAGCGUGGCAGUGAGACUGUGGGGGAUAAGCUUCAUAGUCGAGAGGGAAACAGCCCAGACCACCAGCUAAGGCCCCUAAGCGUGUGCUAAGUGGGAAAGGAUGUGGAGUUGCUUAGACAACCAGGAGGUUGGCUUAGAAGCAGCCAUCCUUUAAAGAAAGCGUAACAGCUCACUGGUCUAAACAAGAGAUCCUGCGGCGAAGAUGUAACGGGGCUAAAGUGAUGCACCGAAGCUUAGGGUGUGAUCUUCGGAUCACGCGGUAGCGGAGCGUUCCGUAGGCGAGUGAAGCGGGAGGGUAACCGACCGUGGACGUAUCGGAAGUGCGAAUGCUGACAUGAGUAGCGACAAAGAGGGUGAGAUGCCCUCUCGCCGAAAGACCAAGGGUUCCUGCGCAACGCUAAUCGGCGCAGGGUGAGCCGGCCCCUAAGACGAGCCCGAAGGGGGUAGUCGAUGGGAACCACGUUAAUAUUCGUGGGCCUGGUGGUGUGUGACGGAUCGUGGAAGUUGU